CCUACGGGUGGCAGCAUUGAGGAAUAUUGGUCAAUGGACGAGAGUCUGAACCAGCCAAGUAGCGUGAAGGAUGACUGCCCUAUGGGUUGUAAACUUCUUUUAUAUGGGAAUAAAACGUUCCCCGUGUGGGAUUUUGUAUGUACCAUAUGAAUAAGGAUCGGCUAACUCCGUGCCAGCAGCCGCGGUAAUACGGAGGAUCCGAGCGUUAUCCGGAUUUAUUGGGUUUAAAGGGAGCGUAGGUGGAUUGUUAAGUCAGUUGUGAAAGUUUGCGGCUCAACCGUAAAAUUGCAGUUGAAACUGGCAGUCUUGAGUACAGUAGAGGUGGGCGGAAUUCGUGGUGUAGCGGUGAAAUGCUUAGAUAUCACGAAGAACUCCGAUUGCGAAGGCAGUUCACUGGACUGCAACUGACACUGAGGCUCGAAAGUGUGGGUAUCAAACAGGAUUAGAUACCCCUGUAGUC
rnacentral:rRNA from 1 species